AUUUACGACCAUACCACGUUGAAACCAUGCCAUCUCGUCCGUUCUGGCAAGUUAAGCAACGUUAGGACUGGUUAGUACUUGGAUCGGAGACGGCCUGGGAAUCCCAGUUGUCGUAAGCU
rnacentral:rRNA from 1 species